GUCUCAGUGACAUAGUGAUUAGCGCACAGGCGCGAGACGCGGGUUCGAAUCCCGCCUGAGAUG
rnacentral:tRNA from 1 species